rnacentral:rRNA from 1 species
AUUGAACGCUGGCGGCAGGCCUAACACAUGCAAGUCGAACGAGUGGCGGACGGGUGAGUAAUGACUGGGAAACUGCCUGAUGGAGGGGGAUAACUACUGGAAACGGUAGCUAAUACCGCCAAACAUCGGAAGUGCACAGAUGGGAUUAGCUAGUAGGUGGGGGAAAGGCUCACCUAGGCGACGAUCCCUAGCUGGUCUGAGAGGAUGACCAGCCACAAUGGAACUGAGACACGGGCCAGACUCCUACGGGAGGCAGCAGUGGGGAAUAUUGCACAAUGGGCGCAAGCCUGAUGCAGCCAGACCGCGGGUAUGAAGAUGGCCUUCGGGUUGUAAAGUACUUUCAGCGGGGAGGCGUUACCCGCAGAAGAAGCACCGGCUAACUCCGUGCCAGCAGCCGCGGUAAUUC